rnacentral:rRNA from 1 species
GACGAACGCUGGCGGCGUGCUUAACACAUGCCAGUCGAACGGAAAGGCCCUGCUUUUGUGGGGUGCUCGAGUGGCGAACGGGUGAGUAACACGUGAGUAACCUGCCCUUGACUUUGGGAUAACUUCAGGAAACUGGGGCUAAUACCGGAUAGGAGCUCCUGCUGCAUGGUGGGGGUUGGAAAGUUUCGGCGGUUGGGGAUGGACUCGCGGCUUAUCAGCUUGUUGGUGGGGUAGUGGCUUACCAAGGCUUUGACGGGUAGCCGGCCUGAGAGGGUGACCGGCCACAUUGGGACUGAGAUACGGCCCAGACUCCUACGGGAGGCAGCAGUGGGGAAUAUUGCACAAUGGGCGGAAGCCUGAUGCAGCAACGCCGCGUGCGGGAUGACGGCCUUCGGGUUGUAAACCGCUUUCGCCUGGGACGAAGCGUGAGUGACGGUAAUGGGUAAAGAAGCACCGGCUAACUACGUG